GAUGAACGCUAGCUACAGGCUUAACACAUGCAAGUCGAGGGGAAACGAUAUUGGAAGCUUGCUUCCGAUAGGCGUCGACCGGCGCACGGGUGAGUAACGCGUAUCCAACCUGCCCAUCACUUGGGGAUAACCUUGCGAAAGUAAGACUAAUACCCAAUGACGUCUCUAGAAGACAUCUGAAAGAGAUUAAAGAUUUAUCGGUGAUGGAUGGGGAUGCGUCUGAUUAGCUUGUUGGCGGGGUAACGGCCCACCAAGGCGACGAUCAGUAGGGGUUCUGAGAAGGAGGACCCCCACAUUGGAACUGAGACACGGUCCAAACUCCUACGGGAGGCAGCAGUGGGGAAUAUUGGUCAAUGGGCGAGAGCCUGAACCAGCCAAGUAGCGUGCAGGAUGACGGCUCUAUGGGUUGUAAACUGCUUUUAUAAGGGAAUAAAGUGAGCCACGUGUGGCUUUUUGCAUGUACCUUAUGAAUAAGGACCGGCUAAUUCCGUGCCAGCCGCCGCCGUAA
rnacentral:rRNA from 1 species